AACGCGAAGAACCUUACCAGCUCUUGACAUGUCUCGUAUGGGGACCGGAGACGGUUUCCUUCAGUUCGGCUGGCGGGAACACAGGUGCUGCAUGGCUGUCGUCAGCUCGUGUCGUGAGAUGUUGGGUUAAGUCCCGCAACGAGCGCAACCCUCGCCCUUAGUUGCCAUCAUUCAGUUGGGCACUCUAGGGGGACUGCCGGUGAUAAGCCGAGAGGAAGGUGGGGAUGACGUCAAGUCCUCAUGGCCCUUACGGGCUGGGCUACACACGUGCUACAAUGGCGGUGACAAUGGGAUGCUGAGGGGCGACCCCGAGCAAAUCUCAAAAAGCCGUCUCAGUUCGGAUUGCACUCUGCAACUCGAGUGCAUGAAGGUGGAAUCGCUAGUAAUCGUAGAUCAGAACGCUACGGUGAAUACGUUCCCGGGCCUUGUA
rnacentral:rRNA from 1 species